rnacentral:rRNA from 1 species
UUGCAAACUGAAGAUGGCGACCGGCGCACGGGUGAGUAACACGUAUCUAACCUACCGAUAACUCCGGAAUAGCCUUUCGAAAGAAAGAUUAAUACCGGAUAGCAUACGAAUAUCGCAUGAUAUUUUUUAUUAAAAGAAUUUCGGUUAUCGAUGGGGAUGCGUUCCAUUAGUUUGUUGGCGGGGUAACGGCCCACCAAGACUACGAUGGAUAGGGGUUCUGAGAGGAAGGUCCCCCACAUUGGAACUGAGACACGGUCCAAACUCCUACGGGAGGCAGCAUG